rnacentral:rRNA from 1 species
AUGAACGCUAGCGAUAGGCUUAACACAUGCAAGUCGAGGGGCAGCAUGGUCUUAGCUUGCUAAGACUGAUGGCGACCGGCGCACGGGUGCGUAACGUGUAUGCAACUUGCCUCACAGAGGGGGAUAACCCGUCGAAAGACGGACUAAUACCGCGUACACUCCAUCUUGGGCAUCCAAGGUAGAGGAAAUGAAAUUCGCUGUGAGAUAGGCAUGCGUCCCAUUAGCUAGUUGGUGAGGUAACGGCUCACCAAGGCGACGAUGGGUAGGGGAACUGAGAGGUUGAACCCCCACACUGGUACUGAGACACGGACCAGACUCCUACGGGAGGCAGCAGUGAGGAAUAUUGGUCAAUGGGCGAGAGCCUGAACCAGCCAAGUCGCGUGAAGGAUGACUGUCUUAUGGAUUGUAAACUUCUUUUAUACGGGAAUAACAAGAGUCACGUGUGACUCCCUGCAUGUACCGUAUGAAUAAGCAUCGGCUAACUCCGUG